CAGUGUGGGAACACUAAGGUAAGAGUGCAGGUGGUUGUUAGAGAAUAACUUGCACUAAACGUGAUCAAUACGAGAAACUACUUGGAUGUCUACUCACUUGUCAGUAAUUUUUUCGAUGCUGCAGUGGUAUGACUGAUUCUUUGACCUGCAGUGUGUUAGCUAUUCACAGCAAUGCUACUUAGUUUGAUUGCACGUUUUCUUGGUCCCUAGCCAUUCGGGUCCUUGCUGUGUAUGUUGGCUAUUGUAGGUUCAAGUUUGAUGUUUGGAGUAAGAUAUAUCUAGAUAAAAUCUAUCGACCUUGGUAGAAAAGGAGUAGUCCUUUGCGAUUUACAAGACUGAGUUCAGAAAAUCUCUACUCAGAGUAAGUAUGAAUUUUGAAAAAGAGUUUCUACAAAAUUCACAGAUGAACUCGAAUCGAGCCAAUCUGGCAUAUGACUGACGAUGAAAUUUGACGAGUUCUCCACGACCUCCGUCUAGUCGGGACUCACGAUAGAAGGACUAUAUCAUACGGUAACUGCAUCUAGAGAUUCACACUUUCAUUCUGCUAGAUUGCCACUACAUGCUAUUAGGCAUUACUGGUGGAUCGUGAGAACUCACUAGGAUCAUUUUCGGAUCAAUGAUCCUUAUUGGGGUGUGUUAGAAUCGUUCCAGUCCAUCGAAAGAAAUUUCGAUGAUACUGUGAUGGAGAUCACAGUAUGUCUCGCUACUAGAUAAAAUGGAACCUAUGGGGUCAUACACAAAAGAGGUUCUUGUCUGAUCAGAUGGCUGAUCGAUGAUUAUGAAUCAUUGAAGAAUAAAAUCGUCAAUUUGAUUGAUGAUUAAUCUUAUGCAAAUAUUGUAAUUAGGUAAUUCACUAAGUGUUAGUAAAUCAUAGGAGGAUUAAUUAAUAAUUGGAUUGCUAAUUAGCUCAAUUUGAUUAAGCAAUUG
rnacentral:lncRNA from 1 species